UACGUAGGUGGCAAGCGUUGUCCGGAAUCACUGGGCGUAAAGCGCGCGCAGGCGGCGAUCUACGUCUGGGGUGAAAGCCCGGAGCUCAACUCCGGGACUGCCUUGGAUACGGGAUCGCUUGAGGAUUGGCGAGGCACGGGGAAUUCCACGUGUAGCGGUGAAAUGCGUAGAGAUGUGGAGGAACACCUGUGGCGAAGGCGCCUUGCUGGCCUAUUUCUGACGCUGAGGCGCGAAAGCGUGGGGAGCAAACA
rnacentral:rRNA from 1 species